GGAAGUGCAGACAAGCUGGCUGGGACAUCUGUCACAGUGCUGAUGGCCAGCGUGGAUUUGGCUGGUCCAGCUGGCUGGGUGUGGCACCCUGUGUUUUCCUAGCACUCCUCC
ensembl:misc_RNA 7SK 7SK RNA